ACGGACCCUGUAGCUGGAGCAGAAGAAGCUUGAAUGCCUGUUUGGGGAAGAAAGCCUUUGCUGCCCGUCCUUAGGCCUCUCCUGUGAUAGGGGAAGAGGACAUAGAAACGCUGAGAGAGCCAGGGCCUCCGCUUCUCUGGAGUAUUCCCCCUUCUGUAAGUGGAAGGAAAGGAAGCGCAGCAGAAGGAUUGGAAUCAAGACAGCCUGGCUCCAGAGCCUGUUUUCAUAACUACGAGAGAAUGCACCAGAUUCCUUCUGAACGCCGCCUGCCACGUGCACGGCUACAACUCUAUUUCCAGCCAUGCUGUGGCAAGCAGUUCCGGGCGGGCUUCAGCUCCCUUUGCACCACCAGCACCUCGCCUCCUGUCAGCAUGAGGCAGUUUUCAUUUUCUGCCCAGGGGCUUCCGCAGCGCCCCAACACAAGGUUGGCAGAAGCGGGCUCAGCGGGAGGACUUGUGGAGGGAAGUUGCUUCCACUGAGCCAGCCUCAAUCUGGGGUGCACAGGCGCCACCAGGUAAAUGCUUCUGCCAGGCCGUCAUCUGACCCAUAAGAUCCCUCUGUGCACUGCUUGGAAGGUCCUGGCAGGGCUGAGCCCCAGCCACCCACGGCAGUGACCUAAUAAUGCACUGUUAUCUUGGCUCUUCUGCUUUCUCUUGUUUCCCACUCCUGUUCGUCCCUCAUUUCUGGUCCCUAGAAUGACUUCCAAAAUAAACUCCCUGUACACAA